rnacentral:rRNA from 1 species
AGUCAACAUGCCCAGGGGACGUGGAUAACCUCGGGAAACUGAGGAUAAACCGCGAUAGGUCACUACUUCUGGAAUGGGUAAUGACUUAAAUCUAUAUGGCCCCUGGAUUGGACUGCGGCCGAUCAGGCUGUUGGUGAGGUAAUGGCCCACCAAACCUGUAACCGGUACGGGCUCUGAGAGGAGGAGCCCGGAGAUGGGCACUGAGACAAGGGCCCAGGCCCUAUGGGGCGCAGCAGGCGCGAAACCUCUGCAAUAGGCGAAAGCCUGACAGGGUUACUCUGAGUGAUUUCCGUUAAGGAGAUCUUUUGGCACCUCUAAAAAUGGUGCAGAAUAAGGGGUGGGCAAGUCUGGUGUCAGCCGCCGCGGUAAUACCAGCACCCCGAGUGGUCGGGACGUUUAUUGGGCCUAAAGCAUCCGUAGCCGGUUCUACAAGUCUUCCGUUAAAUCCACCUGCUUAACAGAUGGGCUGCGGAAGAUACUAUGGAGCUAGGAGGCGGGAGAGGCAAGCGGUACUCGAUGGGUAGGGGUAAAAUCCGUUGAUCCAUUGAAGACCACCAGUGGCGAAGGCGGCUUGCCAGAACGCGCUCGACGGUGAGGGAUGAAAGCUGGGGGAGCAAACCGGAUUAGAUACCCGGGUAGUCCCAGCUGUAAACGAUGCAGACUCGGUGAUGAAUUGGCUUCAUGCCAAUUCAGUGCCGCAGGGAAGCCGUUAAGUUUGCCGCCUGGGGAGUACGGUCGCAAGACUGAAACUUAA